rnacentral:rRNA from 1 species
AGCGAACGUUAGCGGCGGGCCUAACACAUGCAAGUCGAACGGGCUGUAGCAAUACAGUCAGUGGCGCACGGGUGAGUAACGCGUAGAUAAUCUACCUUCCGGCGGGGGAUAACAUUCCGAAAGGAAUGCUAAUACCGCAUAAGACCACGAGGUCCUCGGGCCUCGAGGGAAAAGGUGGCCUCUCCUUGGAAGCCAUCACCGGAAGAUGAGUCUGCGUCCCAUCAGCUAGUUGGUAAGGUAAUGGCUUACCAAGGCGAAGACGGGUAGCUGGUCUGAGAGGAUGAUCAGCCACACUGGUACUGGAACACGGACCAGACUCCUACGGGAGGCAGCAGUGGGGAAUAUUGGGCAAUGGGCGAAAGCCUGACCCAGCCACGCCGCGUGAGUGAUGAAGGCCUUCGGGUUGUAAAGCUCUGUGGGAAGGGGCGAAAAACUCAGACCUAAUACGUCUGAGGUUGACGGUACCUUCUUAGCAAGCACCGGCUAGCUCUGUGCCAGCCGCCGCGGUAAAAC